rnacentral:snoRNA from 1 species
AUCGAUGAUUAUAAAAUUAAAAUUAAUUCCUCAUUCUAACUUACUUAAUUUUGACAUGACAAACCUCUUAUUACAACCAUAGAAUCUGAGUUCCACG